rnacentral:rRNA from 1 species
AACGAACGCUGGCGGCAUGCCUAACACAUGCAAGUCGAACGAUGGCUUCGGCCAUAGUGGCGCACGGGUGAGUAACGCGUGGGAACCUGCCUUUUGGUUUGGGAUAACUCCGGGAAACUGGAGCUAAUACCGGAUGAGCCCGAGCAAUCGGGGAAAGAUUUAUCGCCAAAAGAGGGGCCCGCGUCCGAUUAGGUAGUUGGUGGGGUAACGGCCUACCAAGCCUACGAUCGGUAGCUGGUCUGAGAGGAUGAUCAGCCACACUGGGACUGAGACACGGCCCAGACUCCUACGGGGGGCAGCAGUGGGGAAUAUUGGACAAUGGGCGCAAGCCUGAUCCAGCAAUGCCGCGUGGAUGAUGAAGGCCUUAGGGUUGUAAAGUCCUUUCGGCGGGGACGAUGAUGACGGUACCCGCAGAAGAAGCCCCGGCUAACUUCGUGCCAGCAGCCGCGGUAAU